UGCCCAUCAACUCCUAUCCCUACCUCCUCGCGGUACCGGCCGGAAACUAUGAGCAACCUUAGGGAAGAUCGGGUAACCAACCCCGGUGGAAACUUUGGCUGACAGGGAAGG
rfam:Aedes albopictus isolate Foshan contig66114, whole genome shotgun sequence.